CCAUGAAGCUGGAUUCGCUAGUAAUCGCGCAUCAGCCACGGCGCGGUGAAUACGUUCCCGGGCCUUGUACACACCGCCCGUCAAGCCAUGGAAGCCGGGGGUGCCUGAAGUGCGUGACCGCAAGGAGCGCCCUAGGGUAAAACCGGUGACUGGGCUAAGUCGUAACAAGGUAGC
rnacentral:rRNA from 1 species